UACGGGGGGGGCAAGCGUUGUUCGGAAUUACUGGGCGUAAAGGGCUCGUAGGUGGCCAACUAAGUCGGACGUGAAAUCCCUCGGCUUAACCGGGGAACUGCGUCUGAUACUGGAUGGCUUGAGUUCGGGAGAGGGAUGCGGAAUUCCAGGUGUAGCGGUGAAAUGCGUAGAUAUCUGGAGGAACACCGGUGGCGAAGGCGGCAUCCUGGACCGACACCGACGCUGAGGAGCGAAAGCCAGGGGAGCAAACGGG
rnacentral:rRNA from 1 species